UACGUAGGGUGCAAGCGUUGUCCGGAAUUAUUGGGCGUAAAGAGCUCGUAGGCGGUCUGUCGCGUCGGAUGUGAAAAUCCAGGGCUCAACCCUGGACCUGCAUUCGAUACGGGCAGACUAGAGUUCGGUAGGGGAGACGUGGAAUUCCUGGUGUAGCGGUGAAAUGCGCAGAUAUCAGGAGGAACACCGGUGGCGAAGGCGGUUCUCUGGGCAUUACCUGACGCUGAGGAGCGAAAGCAUGGGGAGCGAACAGG
rnacentral:rRNA from 1 species